AACGAACUCGGGAAACUGAUUUAAACCAAGUUUGAAGCAUUGCCUCUGUUUGCGAGUACUGUGAGAAAGUGUCGUUACCGGAGAGGUCUGGAUGUUAAAACAAACUCUAGGGCUGCUUUUUGUCGACCAUGAGUGAGACUGGACGCUGAACAUAACUGCUGUGCAAAGGUUUACUCGUUCAGCUGCUGCAGCCUGGACAGAAACACCAACUCUCACCUUACAAACCAAACAGGUGUCACCACUUUGUCCUUGAUCACAGAGAGUCUUUGUACAACGAAGAAGUUCUUUGUAACAAGGACUGAGGCCUCCAGGAUUCAAACUUCAACCAUUACAUCACAGAGAGAAGAAACAGACGUGAAGACAUUUCCAGAAGGUCUUCAGCUGCUGUCAUCUCCUCCUGCCUGCACAGACAAGAACACAUAUUAAUCACAGAAACUCACCAGUAAAUCUAAAUAUUUUUACAACAUACUAUUUCUGAUAUUUUUUGAUGUUUUUAUGCCUUACCAUAGUAUGACAUGCAGCUUAAGACAAAGGAACUAGCCAUCAUAUCAGUACUCAAAUCCAGUCUAUUCACAUCCAUCCUGUUUA